rnacentral:rRNA from 1 species
AACGUAGGACGCAAGCGUUAUCCGGAAUUACUGGGCGUAAAGCGCGUGUAGGUGGUUAGAUAAGUCACUGUUGAAAGCUCCCGGCUAAACUGGGAGAGGUGCGGUGAGACUGUCUGGCUAGAGUAUGGGAGAGGGAUGCAGAAUUCCGGGUGUAGUGGUGAAAUGCGUAGAGAUCCGGAGGAAUACCAGAGGCGAAGGCGGCAUCCUGGCCUAAAACUGACACUGAGACGCGAAAGCAUGGGGAGCGAACGGG